AACGAACGCUGGCGGCAGGCUUAACACAUGCAAGUCGAGCGCCCCGCAAGGGGAGCGGCAGACGGGUGAGUAACGCGUGGGAAUCUACCCAUCUCUACGGAAUAACUCAGGGAAACUUGUGCUAAUACCGUAUACGCCCUUUGGGGGAAAGAUUUAUCGGAGAUGGAUGAGCCCGCGUUGGAUUAGCUAGUUGGUGGGGUAAUGGCCUACCAAGGCGACGAUCCAUAGCUGGUCUGAGAGGAUGAUCAGCCACACUGGGACUGAGACACGGCCCAGACUCCUACGGGAGGCAGCGGUGGGGAAUAUUGGACAAUGGGCGCAAGCCUGAUCCAGCCAUGCCGCGUGAGUGAUGAAGGCCCUAGGGUUGUAAAGCUCUUUCACCGGUGAAGAUAAUGACGGUAACCGGAGAAGAAGCCCCGGCUAACUUCGUG
rnacentral:rRNA from 1 species